rnacentral:rRNA from 1 species
CCUUUACAUUGUAAGUAAAUAAUAAUUACGAAAGCAAAAAAUUAUGGCGGUAUUUUAAGCUUUUCAGAGGAAUUUGCUCUUUAAUGGAUAAAACACCUAAAUCUUACUUAAAUUUGUUAGGUCAAUUUGUAUACCACUAUUAAAUUAAUUAAUAAUUUUAAUUUAUAAAAUUUAUAUAAAUUUAAAAAAAAUUAAGUCAAGGUGCAGUAAAAAUUUAAGAAUGAAGUGAAUUACAAUUCUCUUAAGAGAUUAUUUAAAUUAAAAUUUUAAUUUAGGAUUUGAAAGUAAAAUUAAAAUAGAAUGUUAAUUUGAAUAAAGCUCUAAAAUAUGUACACAUCGCCCGUCGCUCUCAUU